GACGAACGCUGUCGGCGUGCUUAACACAUGCAAGUCGAACGGAAAGGCCCUGCUUUUGUGGGGUGCUCGAGUGGCGAACGGGUGAGUAACACGUGAGUAACCUGCCCUUGACUUUGGGAUAACUUCAGGAAACUGGGGCUAAUACCGGAUAGGAGCUCCUGCUGCAUGGUGGGGGUUGGAAAGUUUCGGCGGUUGGGGAUGGACUCGCGGCUUAUCAGCUUGUUGGUGGGGUAGUGGCUUACCAAGGCUUUGACGGGUAGCCGGCCUGAGAGGGUGACCGGCCACAUUGGGACUGAGAUACGGCCCAGACUCCUACGGGAGGCAGCAGUGGGGAAUAUUGCACAAUGGGCGGAAGCCUGAUGCAGCAACGCCGCGUGCGGGAUGACGGCCUUCGGGUUGUAAACCGCUUUCGCCUGUGACGAAGCGUGAGUGACGGUAAUGGGUAAAGAAGCACCGGCUAACUACGUGCCAGCAGCCGCGGUGAUACGUAGGGUGCGAGCGUUGUCCGGAUUUAUUGGGCGUAAAGGGCUCGUAGGUGGUUGAUCGCGUCGGAAGUGUAAUCUUGGGGCUUAACCCUGAGCGUGCUUUCGAUACGGGUUGACUUGAGGAAGGUAGGGGAGAAUGGAAUUCCUGGUGGAGCGGUGGAAUGCGCAGAUAUCAGGAGGAACACCAGUGGCGAAGGCGGUUCUCUGGGCCUUUCCUGACGCUGAGGAGCGGAAGCGUGGGGAGCGAACAGGCUUAGAUACCCUGGUAGUCCACGCUGUAAACGGUGGGUACUAGGUGUGGGGUCCAUUCCACGGGUUCCGUGCCGUAGCUAACGCUUUAAGUACCCCGCCUGGGGAGUACGGCCGCAAGGCUAAAACUCAAAGGAAUUGACGGGGCCCCGCACAAGCGGCGGAGCAUGCGGAUUAAUUCGAUGCAACGCGUAGAACCUUACCUGGGUUUGACAUGGAUCGGGAGUGCUCAGAGAUGGGUGUGCCUCUUUUGGGGUCGGUUCACAGGUGGUGCAUGGCUGUCGUCAGCUCGUGUCGUGAGAUGUUGGGUUAAGUCCCGCAACGAGCGCAACCCUUGUUCACUGUUGCCAGCACGUUAUGGUGGGGACUCAGUGGAGACCGCCGGGGUCAACUCGGAGGAAGGUGGGGAUGACGUCAAGUCAUCAUGCCCCUUAUGUCCAGGGCUUCACGCAUGCUACAAUGGCUGGUACAGAGAGUGGCGAGCCUGUGAGGGUGAGCGAAUCUCGGAAAGCCGGUCUCAGUUCGGAUUGGGGUCUGCAACUCGACCUCAUGAAGUCGGAGUCGCUAGUAAUCGCAGAUCAGCAACGCUGCGGUGAAUACGUUCCCGGGGCU
rnacentral:rRNA from 1 species